GAUGAACGCUGGCGGCGUGCCUAAUACAUGCAAGUCGAGCGAACGGACGAGAAGCUUGCUUCUCUGAUGUUAGCGGCGGACAGGUGAGUAACACGUGGAUAACCUACCUAUAAGACUGGGAUAACUUCGGGAAACCGGAGCUAAUACCGGAUAAUAUUUUGAACCGCAUGGUUCAAAAGUGAAAGACGGUCUUGCUGUCACUUAUAGAUGGAUCCGCGCUGCAUUAGCUAGUUGGUAAGGUAACGGCUUACCAAGACAACGAUGCAUAGCCGACCUGAGAGGGUGAUCGGCCACACUGGAACUGAGACACGGUCCAGACUCCUACGGGAGGCAGCAGUAGGGAAUCUUCCGCAAUGGGCGAAAGCCUGACGGAGCAACGCCGCGUGAGUGAUGAAGGUCUUCGGAUCGUAAAACUCUGUUAUUAGGGAAGAACAUAUGUGUAAGUAACUGUGCACAUCUUGACGGUACCUAAUCAGAAAGCCACGGCUAACUACGUG
rnacentral:rRNA from 1 species